rnacentral:misc_RNA from 1 species
UUGUGGAGGAGGACGCCGAAGGUGGGGCUAAUGACUGGGGUGAAGUCGUAACAAGGUAGCCGUACCGGAAGGUGCGGCUGGAUCACCUCCUAACAGGGAGACAACAAAAUGUUUAAUAUUAUUAUUUUGUCACCUUAGGUCGAUCGGUAUCUCACGUUCUUAAUUAAUUAAGGAUUUCAAUUUCUAAGUUUUUCUAGGUCACACCCAUUAUUUUUCCUGGGCCAUUAGCUCAGGUGGUUAGAGCGCACCCCUGAUAAGGGUGAGGUCCCUGGUUCAAGUCCAGGAUGGCCCAUAUCUCUAUGUUGGGGGUAUAGCUCAGUUGGUAGAGCGCCUGCUUUGCAAGCAGGAUGUCAGCGGUUCGAGUCCGCUUACCUCCACUGAUUACCACCUCUUCCAUAAUUUGUAUAAGGGAAAUGUUUUGAGUUGUGAUCAAAUUCUGAACGAAUCUAGCUUCCUAAUGAAAGCAUUAAGAUGCUGGACUCAUUGAAUUAAUUUCAUUGUUUUCAGAGAACCUUGACAACUGCAUAGAUUAUUUUUUAAAGACAAUAAGCAUCUUUAAUGAUGCAGAUUUAUUAUUUGUGCGAAUGCAUUAAUAACAAUUCUAUUAAGCUGAUGCUUCAAUUUUGAAGUUAUUGGUCAAGCUACAA